AAUUUGGGAGUGGAUGCUCCACACAAGCUGGCGAACCACUUUUUGUUCAGCUUCCCAUUCAUAAAAAACAAGUUCAAAAACAUAUAGUAAAGUUUCUCUCAGAUUCUAUAUAAUACUUACGCGGCAUGGACAGGGAUAGCGAUCUCCUCCUGUCCGAAGAAGAGCUUCUGAAACCCUUCAGAGCCAGGGUUGAUGAUUCCAGCAACAGAAGGCGUUUUUUUUUUUUUUUUUUUUUUUUACAGAAGGCGUUUCACGUCCUGUACAAGCAAAUCAUCUCAAAAACUCAUAUUGAUCCAAACCAAACCACUGUAAAGUUUGUCAAUGUACCACAGAGGAAAUCAGAAAUCGAGCAUUCGUUGAACAUGGAGCUGCUUAUAGUUGUAGAACAGAGCUUGUGUGGUCCGAGAAAACAGUUGUCCCGUUGCCAUUUUUGGGAAGAGCUCAAAAAGGAUCAAUAGGAACAACAAUUUGGUACACCUUUGAUUAAAACUUGUGUAUAAAUCAUCAUUUUAAACUUCUCUUUUCUGAAACAUGAUUUUCUUAAGAUAAAAUGAAUCGGCUAUAGAAUGAACUAUCAAUUUAUCUUUAACGCUCAUGUUGCUGCAUGUCAAUCAACGAAUGCUACUUCUUCUUCAA